rnacentral:rRNA from 1 species
GACGUAGGGCGCGAGCGUUGUCCGGAUUUAUUGGGCGUAAAGAGCUCGUAGGCGGUUUGUCGCGUCGUCUGUGAAAACCCACGGCUCAACUGUGGGCUUGCAGUCGAUACGGGCAGGCUAGAGUUCGGUAGGGGAGACUGGAAUUCCUGGUGUAGCGGUGAAAUGCGCAGAUAUCAGGAGGAACACCGGUGGCGAAGGCGGGUCUCUGGGCCGAUACUGACGCUGAGGCGCGAAAGCUAGGGGAGCAAACGGG